rnacentral:rRNA from 1 species
GACGAACGCUGGCUGCGUGCUUAACACAUGCAAGUCGAACGCUGAAACCCUGGUGCUUGCACCGGGGUGGAUGAGUGGCGAACGGGUGAGUAACACGUGAGUAACCUGCCCCCGACUUCGGGAUAAGCCCGGGAAACUGGGUCUAAUACCGGAGAUGAGGAACCCCCGCAUGAGGGAUGCUGGAACGUUUUUUCGGUUGGGGAUGGGCUCGCGGCCUAUCAGUUUGUUGGUGAGGUAAUGGCUCACCAAGACGACGACGGGUAGCCGGCCUGAGAGGGCGACCGGCCACACUGGGACUGAGACACGGCCCAGACUCCUACGGGAGGCAGCAGUGGGGAAUAUUGCACAAUGGGGGAAACCCUGAUGCAGCGACGCAGCGUGCGGGAUGACGGCCUUCGGGUUGUAAACCGCUUUCAGCAGGGAAGAAGCCCCUCGGGGUGACGGUACCUGCAGAAGAAGUACCGGCUAACUACGUGCCAGCCGCCGCCGUAA